UGUGGCUUUGACGUGGUGUUGAUGUGUAGGCGAAUGUAACAUACUCUCCAUUGUGAGAGUGGUAUUUAGUUUUGAGGAGCGAAAAUAAUACUCUUUAAAGCUGUUAAGGGGUAAAUAAAUAGAAGUUAAGGGGAUAAAUAAAUAGAAGUUAGGUUUAAGUGCUAGAAUGAGUUUGAAGUACAGAGGGAAAAAAAGCUUUUUCUCUUUAAUUUUUCUUUAUUCUUAUAUUAAACCUGAUCCACAUUUCAGUCAAAAUAAACAGGUGCUCUUUGUCACUCCCAAUAUUUGGUUCACGCGUAUUCUCGCCUCCCCGGAAAAUAGUCGAAGGGUCUCUAUCCAGAUACCUAAAAUCAGCGACAACAAUGCUCCCCUUUCUCUUCCCACCUCCUCUCUCUCAUCCAAAUCAGAGAGGCUAGCGGCAAUAGCUGUCGCAACCCUGCCAUCGCUGCACAAUAUUCGCCCCUUCUCAGCCAAGUCCAACCUGUGAGUCCGAAAAUCAGAUAAAAGUCAGCCCCAAAUUAGUGAUACAAGGAAAAUUUGAUUCAAAUCUGCAUUAAGGUUCUGGAAAUCGUCCAAAUUGAGGAAGGAUCUGUCCCUUUCCAAUUUUGAAUUCUAAUUUCCCGAUUCGCCCAUUGGUUUCUUUGAAUUUGUAGUUUCAAAUCCGGACUUUCAAGUCUAGAUUUACCUAUAAAUGGUCGCAUUGUUCAAUUCGUAUGAACAGAGGUCGGGUUUUUUCUUGGGAAUCAAAAAAGGGGUCUGAAGAAAAAAAAAAGAAAUCUCGUGAGGAGAGGCGGAGGAAAUCGAGUAAAAGAAGGCCGGAAAAGGGCCGAGAUUGGAGAAAAAAUGGGUUGGGAAAGCUAAAAAAGGGAGGCAUUGAAGUUGCUGGGAUUCACUGUCUUUUUUCUCUUUCUCCAUUUUUUGGUCCAUGGAGGAAUUGCGAGUCCCAGAGUUGAGUUUGUCACCGAAAAAUCCUUAACCGGAAGCCCGAGUUGGCUACACCGAAAAAGUUAAGUUCCAAUUAAAUCCUAAUUGAUUUUGGAAGAUGGAUUCCUGUAUAUAAUUUUCCGUCUAGCUUGAGUUGUCGUUCGUGCCGAAAAAUGGAUUUGAAGGUGUAUGAUGCACGUUUGAUCGUGAUGGUGUUGUUCGUUCGCUGGAAAUUAUAUAUUUUCGCCCCCUUUAAUCUGUAGAGUACCCCUUUGUUUCAAGAGAGGCUAUUUGCAAACGUGAUAUGUUGUUUUCUCGGGGUCGUUUGGGAGAGUGUAUAAGAAUAAUAUUAAAUAUUAAAUAGGGUGUAUUUGUAAUGUUUAUAUUAUUAAUAUAAGUAUUAGUAAUGUUAGUAUUAGUUAUGUUUGACUUGAUGUAUUAAAAGAUAAUUUAUAUUUAUAUAAAUUUUGUAAAAAAAUAUUUGUCUACUAAAUUACCCUUUCCUUAAA